rfam:Clostridiales bacterium CHKCI006 isolate CHKC6 genome assembly, contig: {contig129}
GGUUGCUGUCAGGGGUGCUUAUAGAAAAGCUGAGAGAAAACUGAUCUGUUUUUAACCCUUUGAACCUGGAUCUGGUUAGUACCAGCGUAGGGAGAUAUUUCAUCAUAUUU